GACGUAGGAGGCGAGCGUUGUCCGGAUUCAUUGGGCGUAAAGAGCGCGCAGGCGGCUUGGUAAGUCGGAUGUGAAAACCCGAGGCUCAACCUCGGGCGUGCAUCCGAAACUGCUCGGCUAGAGGUAGGUAGGGGAGAUCGGAAUUCCUGGUGUAGCGGUGAAAUGCGCAGAUAUCAGGAGGAACACCUGAGGUGAAGACGGGUUGCUGGGCCAACACUGACGCUGAUGCGCGAAAGCCAGGGGAGCAAACGGG
rnacentral:rRNA from 1 species